rnacentral:rRNA from 1 species
GACGAACGCUGGCGGCGUGCCUAAUACAUGCAAGUCGAACGCAGUGGGGACGGGUGAGUAACACGUGGGUAACCUCCCAUCAGAGGGGAUAACACUUGGAAACAGGUGCUAAACCGAGACUGAUGGAUGGAACCGCGGUGCAUUAGCUAGUUGGUGAGGUAACGGCUACACAAGGCAACGAUGCAUAGCCUGCCUGAGAGGUUGCUCGGCCACACUGGGAAGUAGACACGGCCCAGACUCCUACGGGAGGCAGCAGUAGGGAAUCUUCGGCAAUGGACGAAAGUCUGACCGAGCAACGCCGCGUGAGUGAAGAAGGUUUUCGGAUCGUAAAACUCUGUUGUUAGAGAAGCGGUAUCUAACCAGAAAGCCACGGCUAACUACGUGCCAGCAGCCGCGGUAAUUC